GACGAACGCUGGCGGCGUGCUUAACACAUGCAAGUCGAACGAGGCACUUCGGUGCUUAGUGGCGAACGGGUGAGUAACACGUGAGCAACCUGCCCCUGGCUCUGGGAUAGCCUCCGGAAACGGGGAUUAAUACCGGACAUGACCCUGGUCUGCAUGGACUGGGGUGGAAAGUUUUUCGGCCAGGGAGGGGCUCGCGGCCUAUCAGCUUGUUGGGGGGGUAACGGCCCACCAAGGCGACGACGGGUAGCCGGCCUGAGAGGGCGACCGGCCACACUGGGACUGAGACACGGCCCAGACUCCUACGGGAGGCAGCAGUGGGGAAUAUUGCGCAAUGGGGGAAACCCUGACGCAGCGACGCCGCGUGCGGGAUGAAGGCCUUCGGGUUGUAAACCGCUUUCACCAGGGACGAAGCGAGAGUGACGGUACCUGGGGAAGAAGCGCCGGCUAACUACGUGCCAGCAGCCGCCGUAAAAC
rnacentral:rRNA from 1 species